rnacentral:rRNA from 1 species
UACGUAGGUGGCAAGCGUUAUCCGGAUUUAUUGGGCGUAAAGAGAACGCAGGCGGUCUUUUAAGUCUGACGUGAAAGCCUUCGGCUUAACCGGAGUAGUGCAUUGGAAACUGGGAGACUUGAGUGCAGAAGAGGAGAGUGGAACUCCAUGUGUAGCGGUGAAAUGCGUAGAUAUAUGGAAGAACACCAGUGGCGAAAGCGGCUCUCUGGUCUGUAACUGACGCUGAGGUUCGAAAGCGUGGGUAGCAAACAGG